AGGACGAACGCUGGCGGCGUGCUUAACACAUGCAAGUCGAGCGGAAAGGCCCUUCGGGGUACUCGAGCGGCGAACGGGUGAGUAACACGUGAGUAAUCUGCCCCUAGCUCUGGGAUAGCUCCGGGAAACCGGGAUUAAUACCGGAUACGACCACCUUAGACAUCUUUUGUGGUGGAAAGAAUUUCGGCUAGGGAUGAGCUCGCGGCCUAUCAGCUUGUUGGUGGGUAACGCCUACCAAGGCGACGACGGUA
rnacentral:rRNA from 1 species